AGCCCUUGAUGACAAACUGUUUAUUUCUGACACCUCGUAUGAGAGCUAGUAAUGGCUCCAGCUCCCGUGAUUCUGUCUAUGCUCUGAGGCUC
ensembl:snoRNA Small nucleolar RNA SNORD60